rnacentral:rRNA from 1 species
UACGGAGGGUGCGAGCGUUGUCCGGAAUCACUGGGCGUAAAGGGCGCGUAGGCGGCGUGACAAGUCACUUGUGAAAUCUCCGGGCUUAACUCGGAACGGUCAAGUGAUACUGUCGUGCUAGAGUACAGAAGGGGCAACUGGAAUUCUCGGUGUAGCGGUGAAAUGCGUAGAUAUCGAGAGGAACACCUGCGGCGAAGGCGGGUCUCUGGACAGUUCCUGACGCUGAGGCACGAAGGUCAGGGGAGCAAACGGG